GACGAACGCUGGCGGCGUGCUUAACACAUGCAAGUCGAACGGAAAGGCCCUGCUUUUGUGGGGUGCUCGAGUGGCGAACGGGUGAGUAACACGUGAGUAACCUGCCCUUGACUUUGGGAUAACUUCAGGAAACUGGGGCUAAUACCGGAUAGGAGCUCCUGCUGCAUGGUGGGGGUUGGAAAGUUUCGGCGGUUGGGGAUGGACUCGCGGCUUAUCAGCUUGUUGGUUGGGUAGUGGAUUACCAAGGCUUUGACGGGUAGCCGGCCUGGGCGGGUGACCGGCCACAUUGGGACGGGGAUGCGGCCCAGCCCCCUCCGGGAGGCAGCAGUGGGGAAUAUUGUACAAUGGGCGGAAGCCUGAUGCAGCACCGCCGCGUGCGGGAUGACGUCCUUCGGGUUGUAAUCCGCUUCCGCCUGUGACGAAGCGUGAGUGACGGUAAUGGGUAAAGAAGCACCGGCUAACUCCGUG
rnacentral:rRNA from 1 species